CAAGGAUUAUUAGACAGUGCAAAGAGUACCUGCUACAACAAUUACCAAAAUGAUCAAACUGCAUCCAAACUCCAUUGUUGUGUGAUCGAAUACAGCAGGACUUGUGUUCCGGAAAUACUCGAAAGACAAAGAUGCGACGAGACGUUUCUUCUUGAGCAUUUCUUUAAGGACAUCAACGCCGACUGUGGAACAUCGAAGCCAGUCUGCUUGGAGUGCAAUCAAAAAGCAAUAUCAAAUGCGGAAGAUGUGUGCUUGAGGAAAUACGAACAGGAACACGGCAUCAUUUCUAGAGGCCUGAUGUCCGGCAACGACAAACGACUGUGCUGGUAAGCACUUCGUCGCGUGCGUCCGGCGGUUUUACAGCGGCAUUAUGAUAAAUAAGAAAAUGCGUGAACAAUUUUAAAUUUUGCUGAAUGAUUUGCUUAUAUGGGCCAAAUGUAGGAGCAGAACUCUGAAGAAUGCUUGACACCCCCCGUGCAGGGCAAAGACUUUGUUGUUUUAGGUUCAGACACCUGUCGAUAUACUUCAAGCUGCCUACGGUUCCUCAUAAGCCACUGGCAGCACUCCAAGGAAUUACGGUGUACUGCUAGAGAGGACAACGAGCUGUGGGGUUUGGUUUGGAGAAACAUUAACGCGAAUACUUCGCGUCAUUUCACCAAGCGCCCUAGCUGUCGGGUCCAGCUGAGACAUUACGGUUGCGUCUGCGGAGAGGAAAGAAUCCGCUAGUCUCCUCAUGCCUUGUGGAUGGAUGGAUGAAUAGUCGCUUUUCUCGAUCGCAGCGACAUGGAUAGCGCUGGAGUUAGGUAAGCGCCAUGGGAUGCGGCUUUUUGAGGCGGCCGCGCAUUUUGCGCGGAAUCUGUUAUGGCAUGCGUUCCAUUUGUAUUUAAUUUUCAUUGUUUUUACGAAUGCAAUUCCUAAAGUUGCUCAG